AACUAUCAUUUCAUGGAUAUAUAC
rnacentral:siRNA from 1 species